rnacentral:rRNA from 1 species
GACGAAAGAUGCAAGCGUUAUCCGGAUUCAUUGGGUUUAAAGGGAGCGUAGGCGGCCUUAUAAGUCAGUGGUGAAAUCUCUCGGCUUAACUGAGAAAUUGCCAUUGAUACUGUAGGGCUUGAGUACAGAUGCCGUUGGCGGAAUAUGACAUGUAGUGGUGAAAUACAUAGAGAUGUCAUAGAACACCGAUUGCGAAGGCAGCUAACGAAACUGUAACUGACGCUGAGGCUCGAAAGUGCGGGGAUCAAACAGG